UGAUGACUUGCAAUCAAUAGUCUGUAAAACAAUAAGGUCAGCAGUGCGAAGAUUCAGAUUUUCUGUCUCUAAAUGCAAACGGCUGUGCUGGGCCAGUGAGAACAGCACCAUACCAGAAUAGAGCUUCAGAAGAAUCCUAUGGAUCAACCAGCGCUGCCUCCAGCAGCCCAACUCAAGGUCCUCCUUUAACUGUAAUGUUAUGCCCUGCCUAACUCGCUGUGACCUCAGCGAGACGGUGCGCAUUGCCCAGCAGCCAUGCUUCUGUGUUAACUUGAAGCAGCAGGACCGUGUGCUGUUGUGCUGGGCUUUGUUCCACAGAGGGAUUCAGCCACGAAGUCCAUUAGAGCAUCAGAUGCAGUGAGGUCAAAUCAAUUGUCCAUCCUGCAGACAAGGAUGGGCAAUAAUAAUUGACUGAAGCAAUCACUGCUGUGGGAAAACAAACGUCCUGGCGGUGUCGCAUCUGAAGGUCAAGCCUGAUGACAUAUUCAGUUACAGAGACUUCAGAUUCCUGCUGAAGAAGAAGUCAGAUGCCCUGCAGUACUGUAAGAGUUACCAAGCAAUUUCCCAUCUCCAGAGAACAGCAACAAAGAACCCAUUAGACUUGUCCUGGGAAGGCUGAAUGCCGUCAGCUGAAUCAUCACACCAGAAUUAUAAUAUUUUAAGAACUAUACAGAAAUAUUUUGCAUUAAAAAGAUAUGCUUAAUACCUAGUGUGUUGCUUGUUCACAGUGUGUUAUUUG